CUUUCGGUUCUGUUAUCGUGUAAAUAAUCAAGAGGACAUUUGGAAAAUUGUACAUUUAGUUAACAGUUCAUAUAAGGAAUGGAAUCUACACCAGGAGUCACCGUUGAAGGUUAUGAAAACAAUGAGCAGACAUCUCCGCAAAACAAUUAUCUAUUUGUGGCUGCUAUAGACUUUGGUACAUCAUAUUCUGGUUAUGCAUGGUCAUCAAAAAAUGAUUACAAAAAUUACCUGGAAGGAAAAGAUGUGGAGCCUAAAAUCUACACAAAUCAACCAUGGAACUCAGGUGGCAAAGGUUUUUUCUCUGAGAAAACUCCCACUUGUUUGCUGCUAGAUGCUGAUAGAAAGUUGGUUGAUUUUGGAUAUGAUGCCGAAAAUAAGUACGCUGAUUUGUCGCAAGAAGGGAAACAUUCAGAUUACUACUUCUUUCAAAGGUUUAAGAUGAAUUUACAUGAGGGAUUUCAAAUUGAAGCGAUUGACAGAAUGUUAAGGACUGUGUUUAUCAAUGAAACAUUUUCAUUUGCUCAUCGUGGAAGUACUGAUUUCUCGUUUCAAAGCAAAGAAAUGAUGGCUGUCGAGAUGAACGGAAAACAGCUUCCUGCUUUUGAAGUAUUUGCUAUGUCGAUAAAAGCACUAGUUGAUCAUCUGAUGACAAUGUUUCAACAUAAAGGGAACAUGGCAACAUUAAAAAUUGACGACAUAAAAUGGACUUUAACCGUUCCUGCUAUAUGGAGUGAAAAGUCCAAGCAGUUUAUGAGGAGGAGUGCAGUAAAGGCUGGCAUACCAAACAGCAAUCUCUCGAUAGCGCUAGAACCAGAAUGUGCGUCUGUAUAUUGUCAACAUCUGAGUAAAGAUCAUUUGUACGGUGCAAGAGAUGAAUACUCGAUGAAAGAAACAGGACAAAAAUAUAUAGUCGUCGACCUUGGAGGUUUCUUUUAUAAUUUGAAAAAGUCAUUGUGUUAAUCUAUCUGCCACCACGGCAUUAAGUGGAAGAAAAUUACACUUAAUUGAUUAGUUGCGUCCAAAGCUCUUUCCUGGAAUUACCUUCAUCAUGAACGCCAAGAUCCAAAAACUUUAAAACCACGAAUUUUUAAGUAUCAGAAACGAGAACCAGAAUGUGCGUCUGUAUAUUGUCAACAUCUGAGUAAAGAUCAUUUGUACGGUGCAAGAGAUGAAUACUCGAUGAAAGCAACAGGACAAAAAUAUAUAGUCGUCGACCUUGGAGGUUUCUUUUAUAAUUUGAAAAAGUCAUUGUGUUAAUCUAUCUGCCACCACGGCAUUAAGUGGAAGAAAAUUACACUUAAUUGAUUAGUUGCGUCCAAAGCUCUUUCCUGGAAUUACCUUCAUCAUGAACGCCAAGAUCCAAAAUCUUUAAAACCACGAAUUUUUAAGUAUCAGAAACGAGAACCAGAAUGUGCGUCUGUAUAUUGUUAACAUCUGAGUAAAGAUCAUUUUUACGGUGCAAGAGAUGAAUACUCGAUGAAAGAAACAGGACAAAAAUAUAUAGUCGUCGACCUUGGAGGUUUCUUUUAUAAUUUGAAAAAGUCAUUGUGUUAAUCUAUCUGCCACCACGGCAUUAAGUGGAAGAAAAUUACACUUAAUUGAUUAGUUGCGUCCAAAGCUCUUUCCUGGAAUUACCUUCAUCAUGAACGCCAAGAUCCAAAAACUUUAAAACCACGAAUUUUUAAGUAUCAGAAACGAGAACCAGAAUGUGCGUCUGUAUAUUGUCAACAUCUGAGUAAAGAUCAUCUGUACGGUGCAAGAGAUGAAUACUCGAUGAAAGAAACAGGACAAAAAUAUAUAGUCGUCGACCUUGGAGGUUUCUUUUAUAAUUUGAAAAAGUCAUUGUGUUAAUCUAUCUGCCACCACGGCAUUAAGUGGAAGAAAAUUACACUUAAUUGAUUAGUUGCGUCCAAAGCUCUUUCCUGGAAUUACCUUCAUCAUGAACGCCAAGAUCCAAAAAUUUUAAAACCACGAAUUUUUAAGUAUCAGAAACAUGAAGAGUUAAAUCAACUAGCAGUACCGAAAAGGAAUAGGUGAAAAUGAUCAUUAAAAAUAGUAAACUAAUAACUUUUUAUUUCUCUUGUAUAGCUCUGAUUUCUUGUAUGUGUUUGGCUAAACUGUUGGUCCUUUUAUGGUUUAUUAGCUCUUCAGUGUUUGUCUUAGGUUUUGAUAUGUUGGCCGCAUCAAAUCUGAAUAGACAUUAACUGUUGAAAUGCGCAUCUGGUGCAGUAUAAUUAGUGUCGGUGUCAGUGUUAAUACGUAAACACACACAUCAUUGUUUUCCCAUUUACUUUCAGAGCACUUUUUUUAAUUCUUGCGAUAUUCCAGAAUGAUGAGGUUGAGAGAUCGAGUUACAAAAAAAAAUGUAUUUACAAAUACAUUAUGUUUGAAUGAAAUGUGGAGUAUUAUCUUUUCAUAAUCGUGAGAUCAACGGAAAAUGUCCCAUGAAAAAACAUCUAGAAAUAUAUUUCCCGCAUUAAUUACGAUAAGCGAAAGGUAGAUUGUACACAUUUGGUGCGUUCGAAUUGCUGUUAGUGUGUGACCUUCAUCAGUAAUACUGAAAGCUAAUGAUUAUUUGCCAAAAUUACUUGGCAAAUAUUUAACCAUAGUGCUUAACUACCUCCACGUAGAUAAAUACAAAAUGACAUCUAAUUAACCUAAUGUUUCAGGUGGUACUGCUGACAUUGCUGUGCAUGAAAAGAUUGAAGGUAACAAACUUAAAGAGAUACAUCGAUCUACAGGGAGCAACUGUGGUGGGACAUCUGUUGAUGCUGCAUUUCUUCAAUUCAUGGAUACAAUUUUUGGAAAAUCGGUUUUAGAGACCAUGAAAAAAGAAUAUCCCGAAUCUUAUCUCGACUUGAUGAGAGAGUUUGAAUGUAAAAAGAGAACCGUUAACUGUGAUGAGACCGACACAAUCCGAAUGUCAUUGCCAAUGGCUGCCCUAUCGAAACUGUGUUCACAGAUCCAUAACAAAAGCAUCGAAGAGGUAAUACUUUUAUCCACACACAGAAAAGGUUUCUGUUAGAACAGAUAAGUUAAGAAUUAAAUCUGAAAUAUUUGUUGAGUUUUUUAUGCCAACAAUAAAAAAACUCAUUAGCCUACUCGAACACAUAAUGAAGAACAAACGAGUUGCUGAGGUCGACAAUAUACUGUUGGUUGGCGGCUUUGCUGAAUGCACAAUGCUUCAGCAACAUGUUCGAGAUAAAUUUCCGACGAAAAGAGUGAUUGUUCCAUUUGACUGUGGUUUAUCGGUAUUGAAAGGUGCUGUUAUCUAUGGAUUUGAUCCCUCUUAUAUCGCAAUACGAAUUAUUGGGCACACUUACGGUGUCGAUGUAGCUGUUCGUUAUGAUGAUUCAAAACAUGAUUUGGAACACAUGUUUGAAUAUAAUGACAUAAUGUACAGCAAAAGCGUUUUUAAAACAAUAAUAGAGCAGGAGACGGAGGUAUCAGCUGAUACGAAAGUUACGCGUGAAUACCGAACGAUCAAAGAAUUCCAGGAACGUUUGACAAUAGACAUAUAUGUUACACGUAACCCAUAUCCACGCUAUGUUGACGAAGAAGGGUGUCUUCUUCUCGGCAAAUUGUUGGUUGAUAUCCCAAAUCCGACAAAGGAGAAACGUAUAUUUGACGUUGACUUUAUAUUUGGGAACACGGAAAUGAGCGUUGCAGCAGUUGAUCGUGAAUCGGGGGGAAAAUUUGAGACACAAGUUGAAAUAUUCACAGAUGCUUGAGGAUAUACAAACCUAUAUAUACGACUUAACUUACAUUUUCAAUUAGGAAAAAUAUACUGAUAUGGAUGUCAACUUAUUCAUGAUUGUAAUGUUGUGAUCAAUUAUGAAAUAUAUAAAAUGUCUCUUAAUAGUAUAUAUCACUACUCAGAUCUUCAAGUUAUUUAAAAUAAAUGUUGUA